GAUGAACGCUGGCGGCGUGCCUAAUACAUGCAAGUCGAGCGAACAGACGAGGAGCUUGCUCUUUUGACGUUAGCGGCGGACGGGCGAGUAACACGUGGAUAACAUACCUAUAUGACUGGGAUAACUUCGUGAAACCGGAUCUAAUACUGGCUAAUAUAUCGAACCGCAUGGUUCAAUAGUGAAUCACGGCUUUGCUGUCACUUAUAGAUGAAUCCGCGCCGCAUUAGCUAGUUGGUAAGGUAACGGCCUACCAAGGCAACGAUGCGUAGCCGACCUGAGAGGGUGAUCGGCCACACUGGAACUGAGACACGGUCCAGACUCCUACGGGAGGCAGCAGUAGGGAAUAUUCCGCAAUGGGCGAAAGCCUGACGGAGCAACGCCGCGUGAGUGAUGAAGGUCUUCGGAUCGUAAAGCUCUUUUAUUAGGGAAGAACAAAUGUGUAAGUAAAUAUGCACGUCUUGACGGUACCUAAACAGAAAGCCCCGGCUAACUACGUG
rnacentral:rRNA from 1 species